rnacentral:rRNA from 1 species
UCCUACGGGAGGCAGCAGUGGGGAAUAUUGCGCAAUGGGCGAAAGCCUGACGCAGCAACGCCGCGUGCGGGAUGACGGCCUUCGGGUUGUAAACCGCUUUCAGCAGGGAAGAAGCGAAAGUGACGGUACCUGCAGAAGAAGCACCGGCUAACUACGUGCCAGCAGCCGCGGUAAUACGUAGGGUGCAAGCGUUGUCCGGAUUUAUUGGGCGUAAAGAGCUCGUAGGCGGUCUGUCGCGUCGGAUGUGAAAACCCGGGGCUCAACUCCGGGCCUGCAUCAGAUACGGGCAGACUAGAGUGUGGUAGGGGAGACUGGAAUUCCUGGUGUAGCGGUGAAAUGCGCAGAUAUCAGGAGGAACACCGAUGGCGAAGGCAGGUCUCUGGGCCAUUACUGACGCUGAGGAGCGAAAGCGUGGGGAGCAAACAGGAUUAGAUACCCUGGUAGUCC